GUGUCAGCAGCCGCGGUAAUACAGAGGUCCCAAGCGUUGUUCGGAUUUACUGGGCGUAAAGGGUGCGUAGGUGGCGGGGUAAGUCGGAUGUGAAAUCUCCAGGCUCAACCUGGAAAUGGCAUUGGAAACUACCUUGCUGGAGAGUUGGAGGGGGGACUGGAAUACUUGGUGUAGCAGUGAAAUGCGUAGAUAUCAAGUGGAACACCAGUGGCGAAGGCGAGUCCCUGGACAACUUCUGACGCUGAGGCACGAAAGCUAGGGGAGCAAACAGGAUUAGAAACCCUCGUAGUCC
rnacentral:rRNA from 1 species